ACGCUGGCGGCAGGCCUAACACAUGCAAGUCGAGCGGAUGAGAGGAGCUUGCUCCUUAAUUCAGCGGCGGACGGGUGAGUAAUGCCUAGGAAUCUGCCUGGUAGUGGGGGACAACGUUUCGAAAGGAACGCUAAUACCGCAUACGUCCUACGGGAGAAAGCAGGGGACCUUCGGGCCUUGCGCUAUCAGAUGAGCCUAGGUCGGAUUAGCUAGUUGGUGAGGUAAUGACUCACCAAGGCGACGAUCCGUAACUGGUCUGGGAGGAUGAUCAGUCACACUGGAACUGAGACACGGUCCAGACUCCUACGGGAGGCAGCAGUGGGGAAUAUUGGACAAUGGGCGAAAGCCUGAUCCAGCCAUGCCGCGUGUGUGAAGAAGGCCGUAGGAUUGUAAAGCACUUUAAGUUGAGGAGGAAGGCGCAGUAAAUUAAUAGCUGCAGCUGAUUUGACGUUACUCGACAGAAGAAGCACCGGCUAACUCCGUGCCAGCAGCCGCGGUAAUACAGAGGGUGCAAGCGUUAAUCGGAAUUACUGGGCGUAAAGCGCACGCAGGCGGUUCGUUAAGUCAGAUGUGAAAUCCCCGAGCUCAACCUGGGAACUGCAUUCAAAACUGGCAAGCUAGAGUAUGGUAGAGGGGGGUAGAAUUUCCAGGUGUAGCGGUGAAAUGCGUAGAGAUCUGGAGGAAUACCGGUGGCGAAGGCGGCCCCCUGGACAAAGACUGACGCUCAGGUGCGAAAGCGUGGGGAGCAAAC
rnacentral:rRNA from 1 species